AACAAAUACAAUCAUUGUAAAUAAUUACAAAUGUGUGUGAUUUCAUAAAUAAUUUCAACAUGGGACAUGAUCAACAUGAAUGCCCCGAUCUGGUGUAAAACUACACCUCCCAUGAUGCUUUGAUGUAGUUUUACAAUAGCUGGAAGUUACGUCUAAGAUUACACAGUCCUAGAGAGAUGUUCAUCAAUAUGAAGAUCUCUGGUUGGGUCUGAGGAUUUGAGUUAUACAGACGAGCAAGAGUAGGUUUGCAAGAUUCUGAAUGUGUAGUUCAGAAAGGUUUGGGAGAGACAGAGAGAGACAUAAUGUGCAGUGUUUGUGCUUGAUACAAUAUUGUGUUCAGUAAUACAUAAAGGAGUGCUAUAUUUCACGAAUCCCAGAUGUCUCUGUCUAAUGCAAAAAAAAAAGUGUCACAAAUAAAAGGUUUUUCUUUACGGAAAAUUAAUAGUCUACUUAUAAAAACAGCUUUGCCAUGAAAAGCGUUUGGGCCCUAAUAAAGUUUUGGAAUAAACUGUGAUCUUUAAUUUUAGUAUUUAGUUAGAACACAGGGUGUGACAGAUAUUAGAUUUAAUACAGGAACAGGACGACCUUCUUGCAUUGUUAAAUGUUAUGAAUGGGUCACACAGCCCGUACAUCCCUUUCCCACCUGGAUUGGCUGACAAUUUAAA